GACGAACGUUGGCGGCGUGCUUAAUACAUGCCAGUCAACUGAAGCGGUGAUAGCAAUCUCGCUGUGAAGUUGGCGCACGAGUGAGUAACACGUAGUUGAUCUUCCUUUAAUUCUGGCAUAACUCCUGUAAGCCAGUGCUGAUAGCAGCUGAUACAACAUCUCGACAUCUGGACAGUUGUUAAAGCUAUGUCUCCUGAAGAUGAGCCUGCGUCUGAUUAGCUAGUUGGCGGGGUAACGUCCCACCAAGGCAACGAUCAGCAGAUGGUCUGAGAGGCUGAUCAGCAACACUGGAACUGAGCCACGGUCUAGACUACUAAGGGAGGCAGAAGCAAGGACUAUUGCCCAAUGCGAGACAUACUGAAGCAGCAAAGGUGAGGGAGGGCCGAAGAUCUUUUGAUUGUAAAACUCUGUAGGGAGAGAAAAAAAUGCCAAUAUGCGGGACAUGACGGUAUCUAAACAGUAAGCCACGGCUAACUACGUG
rnacentral:rRNA from 1 species